CCUACGGGAGGCAGCAGUGGGGAAUAUUGCACAAUGGGGGAAACCCUGAUGCAGCGACGCCGCGUGAGUGAAGAAGUAUUUCGGUACGUAAAGCUCUAUCAGCAGGGAAGAAAAUGACGGUACCUGACUGAGAAGCCCCAGCUAACUACGUACCAGCAGCCGCGGUAAUACGUCGGGCGCAAGCGUUAUCCGGAUUUACUGGGGGUAAAGGGAGGUUAGACGGCAGCGAAAGUCUGGAGGGAAAUCCCAGGGUUUAACCAUGGAACUGCUUUGGAAACUGUGCAGCUAGAGUGCAGGAGAGGUAAGCGGAAUGCCUAGUGUAGCGGUGAAAUGCGUAGAUAUUAGGAGGAACACCAGUGGCGAAGGCGGCUUACUGGACUGUAACUGACGUUGAGGCUCGAAAGCGUGGGGAGCAAACAGGAUUAGAUACCCGGGUAGUC
rnacentral:rRNA from 1 species